UUGUAGAUUACACCGGCCACCAGGUCCAUGACCCAGGCUGGAAUGCAAUGGCUCGCUGCAGCCUCAACCUCCUGAGCUCAAGCAAUCCUCCCACCUCAGCCUCCCAAGAAGCUAGAACCACAGGAACGGUGUGUCUUGAUUACGGCACCGCAGGAACGCCCUGUCUCUGCUGGGAUGCCGAGCUCUGCGGGAGAAAAUGACACAACCCACAGAUUCGCACCAGAGGGAGAAGAAACUUAGGAUGAUGAGGGCUCGCAGAGGCCGAAUGCGAAGAGUAUUUCAAGAAGCUGACGGUUUUCCUGACUAUGGAGAGAUCGGUUCAAGUGACAGCAGGAUUCCUGGCGGUAGCAACACGGAGUCACUGCUGAUGAAAAGGGGCCUUCAGUGGCCUGGGGAGGGCAGUGCCACGUGGAGCUAGCUAAGGGAGACACAGGAGAGGUCCUGGAGAAGAUUACUAGAGCGUGUGAAACUACCGUGAGCUGAGCAAGAAGGAUCGGCUUUGGUAAGUUUGAAGCUGAGCCUCUCUCUGAUCUCUAAAUCACACUCCCAAAUUGUUGGUCAAAAAGGAGUAGUGAUUCCCUUGGAGGAUGACAUGAACGUUCAGUUUCCAGUGUCUUUUUAGUAGAGACGGGGUUUCACCAUGUUGGCCAGGCUGGUCUCGAAUUCCUGACCUCAAGUGAU